AUUCCAGCUCCAAUAGCGUAUAUUAAAGUUGUUGCAGUUAAAAAGCUCGUAGUUGGAUUUCUGGUGUGGGGUGCUUGACCCGCCGCGGUUACGCGUGUGAGUGUCGGUGUGCUCUGCCCAUCCUUCUAGAAAUUGGCUCUGCCCUUCAUUGGGUUGGGGUCAGGAUCUAGAUCUUUUACUUUGAAAAAAUUAGAGUGUUUAAAGCAAGCGUUGCGUGAAUACAUUAGCAUGGAAUAAUAACUUAGGACUUCGGUUCUAUUUUGUUGGUUUCUAGGACUGAAGUAAUGAUUGAUAGGGAUAGUUGGGGGUGCUAGUAUUCAGCGGCCAGAGGUGAAAUUCUUGGAUUCGCUGAAGACUAACUUAUGCGAAAGCAUUCACCAAGGAUGUCUUCAUCA
rnacentral:rRNA from 1 species